AGGUUAAGUGAAUAAGGGCGCACGGUGGAUGCCUUGGCACUAGGAGCCGAUGAAGGACGGGACUAACACCGAUAUGCUUUGGGGAGCUGUAAGUAAGCUAUGAUCCAGAGAUUUCCGAAUGGGGGAACCCAAUAUCUUUUAUAGGAUAUUACUUUUCAGUGAAUACAUAGCUGAUUAGAGGUAGACGCAGAGAACUGAAACAUCUUAGUACCUGCAGGAAGAGAAAGAAAAUUCGAUUCCCUGAGUAGCGGCGAGCGAAACGGGAAGAGCCCAAACCAACAAGCUUGCUUGUUGGGGUUGUAGGACUCCAAUAUGGUAGUCUGUUAGUAUAGUUGAAGGAUUUGGAAAAUUCCGCUAAAGAGGGUGAAAGCCCCGUAGACGAAAUGCURACAACACCUAGGAGGAUCCUGAGUACGGCGGAACACGAGAAAUUCCGUCGGAAUCCGCGGGGACCAUCCCGCAAGGCUAAAUACUCCCUAGUGACCGAUAGUGAACCAGUACCGUGAGGGAAAGGUGAAAAGCACCCCGGAAGGGGAGUGAAAUAGAUCCUGAAACCGUGUGCCUACAACAAGUCAAAGCUCGUUAAUGAGUGAUGGCGUGCCUUUUGUAGAAUGAACCGGCGAGUUACGAUUGCAUGCGAGGUUAAGUCGAAGAGACGGAGCCGCAGCGAAAGCGAGUCUGAAUAGGGCGAAUGAGUAUGUAGUCGUAGACCCGAAACCAUGUGAUCUACCCAUGUCCAGGUUGAAGGUGCGGUAAAACGCACUGGAGGACCGAACCCACGUACGUUGAAAAGUGCGGGGAUGAGGUGUGGGUAGCGGAGAAAUUCCAAACGAACUUGGAGAUAGCUGGUUCUCUCCGAAAUAGCUUUAGGGCUAGCCUCGGAAUUGAGAAUGAUGGAGGUAGAGCACUGUUUGGACUAGGGGCCCAUCUCGGGUUACCGAAUUCAGAUAAACUCCGAAUGCCAUUCAUUUAUAUCCGGGAGUCAGACUGCGAGUGAUAAGAUCCGUAGUCGAAAGGGAAACAGCCCAGACCACCAGCUAAGGUCCCAAAAUAUAUGUUAAGUGGAAAAGGAUGUGGGGUUGCACAGACAACUAGGAUGUUGGCUUAGAAGCAGCCACCAUUUAAAGAGUGCGUAAUAGCUCACUAGUCGAGUGACCCUGCGCCGAAAAUGUACCGGGGCUAAACAUAUUACCGAAGCUGUGGACUACACCAUUAGGUGUAGUGGUAGGAGAGCGUUCUAAGGGCGUUGAAGGUCGAUCGUGAGGACGGCUGGAGCGCUUAGAAGUGAGAAUGCCGGUAUGAGUAGCGAAAGACAGGUGAGAAUCCUGUCCACCGUAUGACUAAGGUUUCCUGGGGAAGGCUCGUCCGCCCAGGGUUAGUCGGGACCUAAGCCGAGGCCGAUAGGCGUAGGCGAUGGACAACAGGUUGAUAUUCCUGUACCAGUUGUUUUUGUUUGAGCAAUGGAGGGACGCAGUAGGCUAAGGAAUGCAUGCGAUUGGAAGUGCAUGUCCAAGCAAUGAGUCUUGAGUAGAGUUAAAUGCUUUACUCUYUAAGGACAAGUUGUGACGGGGAGCGAAAUAAUAGUAGCGAAGUUCCUGAUGUCACACUGCCAAGAAAAGCUUCUAGUGAGAAAACAACUGCCCGUACCGUAAACCGACACAGGUAGUCGAGGAGAGUAUCCUAAGGUGAGCGAGCGAACUCUCGUUAAGGAACUCGGCAAAAUGACCCCGUAACUUCGGGAGAAGGGGUGCUGACUUCGGUCAGCCGCAGUGAAUAGGCCCAAGCGACUGUUUAUCAAAAACACAGGUCUCUGCAAAAUCGUAAGAUGAAGUAUAGGGGCUGACGCCUGCCCGGUGCUGGAAGGUUAAGAGGAUGGGUUAGCUUCGGCGAAGCUCAGAAUUGAAGCCCCAGUAAACGGCGGCCGUAACUAUAACGGUCCUAAGGUAGCGAAAUUCCUUGUCGGGUAAGUUCCGACCCGCACGAAAGGCGUAACGAUUUGGGCACUGUCUCAACGAGAGACUCGGUGAAAUUUUAGUACCUGUGAAGAUGCAGGUUACCCGCGACAGGACGGAAAGACCCCAUGGAGCUUUACUKUAGUUUGAUAUUGAGUGUUUGUACCACAUGUACAGGAUAGGUAGGAGCCGAUGAGACCGGAACGCUAGUUUCGGAGGAGGCGCUGGUGGGAUACUACCCUUGUGUUAUGAACCCUCUAACCCGCACCACUAAUCGUGGUGGGAGACAGUGUCAGAUGGGCAGUUUGACUGGGGCGGUCGCCUCCUAAAAGGUAACGGAGGCGCCCAAAGGUUCCCUCAGAAUGGUUGGAAAUCAUUCGAAGAGUGUAAAGGCAGAAGGGAGCUUGACUGCGAGACCUACAAGUCGAGCAGGGACGAAAGUCGGGCUUAGUGAUCCGGUGGUUCCGCAUGGAAGGGCCAUCGCUCAACGGAUAAAAGCUACCCUGGGGAUAACAGGCUUAUCUCCCCCAAGAGUCCACAUCGACGGGGAG
rnacentral:rRNA from 1 species